CGCUGGUCUGCCAAAGGCUUUACGAUCGAUGACUCGUGAUGAUAUUUAUUUUGAUAUUUCACUGAAAUAUCUUCAAUUCUGCAAAAGGAAUUCCGAUUCUGCAAGAGAGGAUGUUAGGCGUAUUGUGUGGUCAUCUGCUAUGCGUUUCCUCAGGAUGCGCUGCGCCGCACAAUGGAUCGAAAUGCGGAAAUAGGUGGACAUCGAGGCAAAAAUAAAAGUUUUAAUUUUACAAUUUAACUCAUUAAAAUGUGUUGUAGAAUACUUCUAACGCAUAAUCCAAAAGCAGGAAAUAUAGAUUAAUGAGUAAUAUAGAUACUGUAAGUAUGUCAAAUUCCCAAAGUCCUGUGAUAAAUGAAAUUUGUAAAGUAGAAAUCGUCCACUUCUAUUCGCUGUAUUCUGUAUAAAGGAUUAUGUAUUUUUGUCUAUUGCAUAAAUCCCAAUUCUAUGGUUCU